GAAAAAAAGACCGGGCGUGGUCACUCACGCCCGUAACCCAAGCACUUUCGAGGCCAAGGCGGAUGGAUCACCUGAGGUUGGGAGUUCAAGACCAGCCUGACCAACGUGGUGAAACCCUGUCUUCAAAAAAAUACAAAAAAUAAAAAUAAAUAAAAAGAUUUUACAUUUCUUUCCACAUGUUUAAAGAGCUGUUUGUAUUUUUAUUUUCUGGUGAACAGUGUGUCUGUGUCCUUUGUGACAUUUCUCUGUUGCUUUUUUCCGAUUGGUGUGAACAGACUCACUUCCUCAGCUCCUGCUAGGCAAUAUCAGCAUCUCAUACUCAUGUCUCUCAGUCUGACCAUCCAGGAACGCCUUGCUCCCUGUUGGGAAUCUGCAGCUCUGAUUUCCAAAAUCAAAAAUAAUUUCUGUGUUCCUCUUUCAGGAUGCCGAGGAAUGUGACAGGGCUGGGAGUGUGGCCACCUGCCAGGCCGUCAUGCGCGCCGUGAUUGGAAUUGGGAUUGAGGAGGAAGAUCGGAAGCACACCUGGAUGGAGGAUGCUGACAGUUGUAGUGGCCCACCAUGCCCAG